rnacentral:rRNA from 1 species
UACGUAGGGGGCAAGCGUUGUCCGGAAUCAUUGGGCGUAAAGCGCGUGUAGGCGGCCCGGUAAGUCCGCUGUGAAAGUCGGGGGCUCAACCCUCGAAUGCCGGUGGAUACUGUCGGGCUAGAGUGCGGGAGAGGCGAGUGGAAUUCCUGGUGUAGCGGUGAAAUGCGCAGAUAUCAGGAGAAACACCAAUUGCGAAGGCAGCUCGCUGGAACGUAACUGACGCUGAGACGCGAAAGCGUGGGGAGCAAACAGG